rnacentral:rRNA from 1 species
CAGUCGCCGCGGGAACACGUAGGGCGCAAGCGUUGUCCGGAAUUAUUGGGCGUAAAGAGCUCGUAGGCGGUCUGUCGCGUCUGGUGUGAAAUCCCGAGGCUCAACCUCGGGCUUGCAUCGGGUACGGGCAGACUAGAGUGCGGUAGGGGAGACUGGAAUUCCUGGUGUAGCGGUGGAAUGCGCAGAUAUCAGGAGGAACACCGAUGGCGAAGGCAGGUCUCUGGGCCGCAACUGACGCUGAGGAGCGAAAGCAUGGGGAGCGAACAGGAUUAGAUACCCCGGUAGUCCCUGUCUCUUAUAA